rnacentral:rRNA from 1 species
AUGGUGACGUUCAAGCUCCUCACUCCCGACACCCUCAAGGUCAUCAUCUUCGACGAUGAUGGCAUUGAGGUCGUCAACAAGUGCGGGAAGCACGACGAAGCCUUCGCCGUCAAGGAGUAG